AACGAACGCUGGCGGCAGGCCUAAAACAUGCAAGUCGAACGCUGUAGCAAUACAGAGUGGCGCACGGGUGAGUAACACGUGGGAAUGUGCCUUUUGGUACGGAACAACUUUUAGAAACGAAAGCUAAUACCGUAUGGUCCCUUCGGGGUAAAGAUUUAUCGCCAAAAGAGCAGCCCGCGUCUGAUUAGCUAGUUGGUGAGGUAAUGGCUCACCAAGGCGACGAUCAGUAGCUGGUCUGAGAGGACGAUCAGCCACACUGGGACUGAGACACGGCCCAGACUCCUACGGGAGGCAGCAGUUAGGAAUAUUGGACAAUGGGCGCAAGCCUGAUCCAGCCAUGCCGCGUGAGUGAUGAAGGCCUUCGGGUUGUAAAGCUCUUUAGCCGAUGAAUAUAAUGACUGUAGUCGGAAAAUAAGCCCCGGCUAACUUCGUGCCAGCCGCCGCGGUAA
rnacentral:rRNA from 1 species